GGUAGAAGAUGAUAGUGCCUGAUUUCAUCACAAUAGCAUGCCCAUACUGCAUGUCGUUUAAGGUACAAAAAAGCUGAAUCUUCACUAUAUUGAUUGUUUGGCUCCCCAUGAUGAUCAAAACAUUGAAAAAAAAUGUUCCACCAUCAAACCUCACCUUUCCUUAGUGAAUCUCUGGAAGGAUCAGCAAACCGAACAGAGAAAGAUCGAGAGAGGUUUUCAGGCUCAUCCUUUCCAGACCCUUGAUCAAAAUUCUGCAAGUAACUAUAUUCAUCAUAAUAUGGUGGUACCUGCAAGGGACCUGAUGAAGACUCGAACAACUUCUUCUUUUCUUUCUUUAACUUCAUCCACAGGACUUUCCACCUGAGCUUGUUCAAUCCGGCCGGUGAUUGUGAGCUCGCGGAAUUAAUUUCUUCAUAACACUGGCCCAACCGAAUAGUUCUGCUGCGAGAAUUGCACCAGUCACCGAUGCCCAUUGCAGUGAAACAGCUAGAAAAGUUAAAUUCUUUUGGUUGCUGAAGCUCCCUAGCUUGCUAGAGAAACUAAAUAAUGUAAAAGUGAAUAUCAAGAGCUGAAUUUAUCAGUCUAGAGAAGGUAGUUGGCUGGCUAUUCAAGACUGAAGAUUUGCUGAGGUCUGAAAUGCCAAGCAUUAUAUGAAGUCGGCUUUAGCAAAGCAAAAUAUGCUCCAAGUCCAAGCCUCCAACUUCGUUGAAAACUGCAAGACUUAAAAACGUGAUAAGAACUGCUCACUUUUGAUUUUUC
rnacentral:misc_RNA from 1 species